rnacentral:rRNA from 1 species
AGUAAAUUGGUUAAGUUAGAAAGGGCGCACGGUGGAUGCCUUGGCACUAGGAGCCGAAGAAGGACGGGACUAACACCGAUAUGCUUUGGGGAGCUGUACGUAAGCGUUGAUCCAGAGAUUUCCGAAUGGGGGAACCCACUAUCUUUAGUCGGAUAGUAUCCUUACGUGAAUACAUAGCGUGAGGAAGGCAGACCCAGGGAACUGAAACAUCUAAGUACCUGGAGGAAGAGAAAGAAAAAUCGAUUUCCUGAGUAGCGGCGAGCGAAACGGAAAGAGCCCAAACCAAGAAGCUUGCUUCUUGGGGUUGUAGGACACUCUAUACGGAGUUACAAAAGAAAGUUAUAAAUGAAGCGGUCUGGAAAGGCCCGCCAAAGACGGUAACAGCCCGGUAGUUGAAAUAGCUUUCCCUCCAGAGUGGAUCCUGAGUACGGCGGAACACGUGAAAUUCCGUCGGAAUCCGGGAGGACCA